AUUGAACGCUGGCGGCAGGCCUCACACCUGCAAGUCGAACGAGUGGCGGACUGUUGACUAGUCUCUUGGUAACUGCUUGAUGGAGGUGGAUAACUACUCGACACUGUAUCUAAUACCGCAUACUAUCGUACGCGCCUAGAUGGGAUUAGCUAGUAGGGGGGGUAAAGGCUCACCUAGGCGACGAUCACUAGCUGUUCUGAGAGGAUGACCGGCCACACUGGGACUGAGACACGGUCCAGAUGCCUAGGGGAGGCAGCAGUGGGGAAUAUUGCACAAUGGGCGAAAGCCUGAUGCAGCCAUGCAGCGUGGAUGAGGAAGGCCUUCGGGUUGGAAAGUACGUUCAGCAGAGAGGCGUUACCCGCAGAAGAAGCACUGGCUAACUCCGUGCCAGCAGCCGCGGGAAUAC
rnacentral:rRNA from 1 species